rnacentral:rRNA from 1 species
GGGCUUCGGCUCUUAGUAGAGUGGCGAACGGGUGAGUAACGCGUGGGUGACCUACCUCUGAGUGGGGGAUAACGUCCCGAAAGGGACGCUAAUACCGCAUGACAUCCCGCCUUUGAACAGGUGGAGAUCAAAGCCGGGGAUCGCAAGACCUGGCGCUUGAAGAGGGGCCCGCGUCCGAUUAGCUAGUUGGUGAGGUAACGGCUCACCAAGGCGACGAUCGGUAGCCGGCCUGAGAGGGCGGACGGCCACACUGGGACUGAGACACGCCCCAGACUCCUACGGGAGGCAGCAGUGGGGAAUUGUUCGCAAUGGGCGAAAGCCUGACGACGCAACGCCGCGUGGAGGAUGAAGACCUUCGGGUCGUAAACUCCUUUCGAUCGAGACGAAUGGCCUUCCGGCUAAUAACCGGGAGGAAUGACGGUACCGAGAGAAGAAGCCCCGGCUAACUCCGUGCCAGCAGCCGCGGUAAUACGGGGGGGGCAAGCGUUGUUCGGAAUUACUGGGCGUAAAGGGCUCGUAGGUGGCCAACUAAGUCAGACGUGAAAUCCCUCGGCUUAACCGGGGAACUGCGUCUGAUACUGGAUGGCUUGAGUUCGGGAGAGGGAUGCGGAAUUCCAGGUGUAGCGGUGAAAUGCGUAGAUAUCUGGAGGAACACCGGUGGCGAAGGCGGCAUCCUGGACCGACACUGACGCUGAGGAGCGAAAGCCAGGGGAGCAAACGGGAUUAGAUACCCCGGUAGUCCUGGCCCUAAACGAUGAAUGCUUGGUGUGGCGGGUAUCGAUCCCUGCCGUGCCGAAGCUAACGCAUUAAGCAUUCCGCCUGGGGAGUACGGUCGCAAGGCUGAAACUCA